GAUGAACGCUGGCGGCGUGCUUAACACAUGCAAGUCGAACGGUGAAAGAGAGCUUGCUCUCUGGAUCAGUGGCGAACGGGUGAGUAACACGUGGGCAAUCUGCCCCUGACUCUGGGAUAAGCGCUGGAAACGGCGUCUAAUACCGGAUACGAGCUGCGAAGGCAUCUUCAGCAGCUGGAAAGAACUUCGGUCAGGGAUGAGCUCGCGGCCUAUCAGCUAGUUGGUGAGGUAACGGCUCACCAAGGCGUCGACGGGUAGCCGGCCUGAGAGGGUGACCGGCCACACUGGGACUGAGACACGGCCCAGACUCCUACGGGAGGCAGCAGUGGGGAAUAUUGCACAAUGGGCGAAAGCCUGAUGCAGCAACGCCGCGUGAGGGACGACGGCCUUCGGGUUGUAAACCUCUUUUAGCAGGGAAGAAGCGAAAGUGACGGUACCUGCAGAAAAAGCACCGGCUAACUACGUG
rnacentral:rRNA from 1 species